rnacentral:rRNA from 1 species
GAUGAACGCUAGCUACAGGCUUAACACAUGCAAGUCGAGGGGAAACGACAUCGAAAGCUUGCUUUUGAUGGGCGUCGACCGGCGCACGGGUGAGUAACGCGUAUCCAACCUGCCCACCACUUGGGGAUAACCUUGCGAAAGUAAGACUAAUACCCAAUGAUAUCUCUAGAAGACAUCUGAAAGAGAUUAAAGAUUUAUCGGUGAUGGAUGGGGAUGCGUCUGAUUAGCUUGUUGGCGGGGUAACGGCCCACCAAGGCAACGAUCAGUAGGGGUUCUGAGAGGAAGGUCCCCCACAUUGGAACUGAGACACGGUCCAAACUCCUACGGGAGGCAGCAGUGAGGAAUAUUGGUCAAUGGACGAGAGUCUGAACCAGCCAAGUAGCGUGCAGGAUGACGGUCCUAUGGGUUGUAAACUGCUUUUAUAAGGGAAUAAAGUGAGUCUCGUGAGGCUUUUUGCAUGUACCUUAUGAAUAAGGACCGGCUAAUUCCGUGCCAGCAGCCGCCGUAA